rnacentral:tRNA from 1 species
AGAGGCUGCGGCUCAGUGGUAGGGCAUCUGCUUCGGAUGCACAAGGAUCCAGGUUCAGUCCCUGACAUUUCCA